UGAGGUAUUAGUAAAACAUUACAUAACUUUGUCAAAGUUAAGUUACAAGUGAAAACCUUGUAUAUCUCU
rnacentral:tRNA from 1 species